rnacentral:lncRNA from 1 species
GUGACCUGGAAGACCUGGAGGAGGUUGCGUCAGCGCAGACAUCCUUGGAGGAAGCCACAGGGGUUCACAUGGUAAAGCAUCUGCCUCAGGCUCCAGUGCCCUGGGGACAGUCUGGCCCAGAUACAGGAGUGACUCGUGGAACUGUGCUCAGGGGCUGAAAUAGGAGCCCUGGGGUCUCAGCUGCUUUCUCAGAAAGAGAAAAAGAAACCGUGUUAUUUCCUAGAAUGUAAUGAAUGAGCUGGGAGAUGCUGGGGUAGGUGAGCACACCAGGUGCCAGGACCCAAGGCCUCCCCAUCACCUGCAUCUGCAAGGGCUCCUUGGACCCUGGUCAGAAGUUUAUUUGGUGAAUGAUCCUGCAGACAUCACACUGGCUCAAAGGGCAUCAGAACCCCAGCUGAGAGGAGCCUCAGCAUCAGAUGAUGAGGACCUGGCACGGGAGCCUUCAUCUGAGGAUGUCCCAGGCGUUCACAUGGUGGACAAAGCCAGACAGACGAACAGUACAUAUUCUGGGAUCACCCCUAUGCUGAGGAAAAAUUCUAGUGUUGACACAGGUGCCAAGGAACUUCUGGAGGAGGAUGUGCCAGGACAGACAUCCUUGGAGGAAGCCUCAGGGGUUCACAUGGUAAAGUCUUCUUUUUUCCUCUGAAAUUGAAAUUUUAUUUCUCUCUGUUUCAAUUGAAUUAAGAUGUAUACAUCUUACCAUGUACAUUAUAGGUGAUUUACAGAAUUUCUUGGUGGGCAAAUGUCAGAGUUCAUUAUCAACAAAAAAAAUGAUUUCAGAUGGCAUCCACAUGUGCAAACUGUAUGUCAGCAGGCAUUUUCCUCAAGAGAAAUGCCUCCUUCUUGAGAAGUAUUUGGAAUUGUCAAACAAAAACAUUGGAAACUCUUGCAAAAAAAUC